GACAGAGGCCUCAAGCGUUAGGCGGAAUCACUGGGCUUAAAGCGUGUGUAGGCGGAUCGUUAAGUGUCUUGUGAAAUCCCACGGCUCACCCGUGGAACUGCUGGGCAUACUGGCGAUCUUGGGCCAACUAGGGGCAGCCGGAACAAGCGGUGGAGCGGUGAAAUGCGUAGAUAUCGCUUGGAACGCCGAAGGUGAAAACAGGCUGCUGGGGUUGUGCCGACGCUGAGACACGAAAGCCAGGGGAGGCAAACGGG
rnacentral:rRNA from 1 species